rnacentral:rRNA from 1 species
CCUACGGGUGGCAGCAGUGAGGAAUAUUGGUCAAUGGACGAGAGUCUGAACCAGCCAAGUAGCGUGAAUGAUGACUGCCCUAUGGGUUGUAAACUUCUUUUAUAUAGGAAUAAAAUGUUCCACGUGUGGGUUUUUGUAUGUACCAUAUGAAUAAGGAUCGGCUAACUCCGUGCCAGCAGCCGCGGUAAUACGGAGGAUACGAGCGUUAUCCGGAUGUAUUGGGUUUAAAGGGAACGCAGGUGGGUUGUUAAGUCAGUUGUGAAAGUUUGCGGCUCAACCGUAAUAUUGCAGUUGAAACUGGCAGUCUUGAGUACAGUAGAGGUGGGCGGAAUUCGGGGUGUAGCGGUGAAAUGCUUAGAUAUCACGAAGAACUCCGAUUGCGAAAGCAGUUCACUGGACUGUAACUGACACUGAGGCUCGAAAGUGUGGGUAUCAAACAGGAUUAGAUACCCGAGUAGUC